ACAGAUUUGCUUCAGAUGUACGUAUUGGUAUUUAUUGCAAGAAACAGCUGGGUUUCUUUCCCUGACAUUUUACACAAGUUAAUGCGUGAAAAAUAAGAUAGGAAUUUUGAAAGCAGUUUCUAUAAAACUAGUUUUUAACCCUU